AAGUCGUAACAAGGUUUCCGUAGGUGAACCUGCGGAAGGAUCAUUAAUAAUGAAGCCGGGCAACCGGUCCUUCUAACCCUUGAUUAUCUUAAUUUGUUGCUUUGGUGGGCCGCGCAAGCACCGGCUUAGGCUGGAUCGUGCCCGCCAGAGGACCCCAACUCUGUAUCAAAUAUUGUCUGAGUACUAUAAAAUAGUUAAAACUUUCAACAACGGAUCUCUUGGUUCUG
rnacentral:misc_RNA from 1 species